rnacentral:lncRNA from 10 species
UGUGCAUUCUGUAGUUAUAUCUUUGUCUGAAUCUUUGAUUAUGUCUCUACCACACUUUCCUAGAAGAGAAAUUAAAAAAACAAAGGAUCAGCACAAUUUUAAGGUUCUCAUUAAAUAUUUUAAUUUUUUUUUCCAAAAACAAACUCCCAAGUUACACUGCCACAAGUUGUGGAUGGGAGGGCUGGAUUUCCUGAACCCUUCCCAGCAUUGCUCGAGUUUCUUGGUUCCUCCGCUAGAGAAGAGGAGCCCCAGAGCUCUGUAGGCUCCAGAAAAUUCAACUUUAUGCUGUCUACAAGAGGCAUACUAACUCAUAAAAAUUAAAAGACUGACCCAGAAAACACAGCAAAAAGAAAAAUAUCACGAAAUGAUUGUCAGUCCAAUUAAAAUUCAAGACUGGAAGAAUUCAUGGGUCAGAGAAGCUGGUACAAGUGGAUCUGCUCGGCACCUAUAACCUAAUUACCUCUCAGGCUCACACAAGUCUCUGGCCGCUAAGCGAAUGAUCUCCCAAAGGGAUUAUUCUCAAGCAGCACAGAAACUGUCCCUAUGCCUCAGGUGGCCCCAGAACUCUUUCGUACUAGAGACUUAUCUGUUAAUAAAGUUAACAAAGGAAAGUGGCCUUCCAAGAAUGUUUGUUUGGGCCACUACCUGGAAGAAAUAACACUUGACCAUGAGAGACUUGGCUGAGCAGUGCUGGGUCAGCUUAACCAAAGAAGACCAGCCAUCACCCACGGCAAGAGCAGCUCUGACUUGGACCCACUGUUCCCCCAGCCUGUUAGCAGCCUGUGAACAAUCUUUAAGUGACCCCUGGCCCUGUCACAUCUCCAUUCAACAGGGUUCUUGGGGAGGAUGUGUGGACCGAGAACAGUGCCCACCCACACCACCUGUAAGUGUGGCCACGGCAGCCAGCCAGCAUGGAUGCUAAGUAACAAGUGGUAUUGGGGCACAGAUGUGGCGGGAGCGCUUUGGGGCAAAGAAAGAGGUGCUGUGAGUGAGGACAGAAAGGAAGGGGAAAAAAAAGCCUCAUGGGUUAGAGCGCCUCUCACCUUUGGCUCUUCUUCAGAAGACUGGUAAAAGAAAACAAGAAGAGAAAUUGGUUUCCCUGACUUCUCUAAAGCAAGCGUUCUUCAGAAAAGAGAAUCGAUCAGCCUGGUUAAAGUGGAUAAACUAUGUGAUGUCCAUCCAGAGAGGUGUCUAUUAAUGGCUGUAAAAUGGAAAGAUGAAUCAAUGGGACCGAUUAAUAUUUAUGAAGAGUUGAACUAGGCAGAGUGAAAAAGCCUUGUAUAUUGGAUAAGAAAGGAAAAGCAUUGCACACCAUAGGAUGCGUUUGUUUGGCUAAGGUUUCUGUUUUGAUCACUGGGUAAUUGUAUAGAGCAGGGGCGUAUGGUAGAGAAAGAAAAUCUAUAUCUAGAAGUUAUUGACUUUAUGUACAAAAGCACUGGUUGGUGCCUAUUUUUGAGGACCACUCCAUCUUAAAAAUAACUUUGGUUUUGUACGGCCUAGUUGUGGUGGAAAAGGAGCUCCAAAGAGUAAGCAAGUUUCCUACAAAAAGAAUCCAAGCUGUUGAAACUACAAUUAAGAAAUGCAAAGAGUUACUAAUUUUACUACUUAGAGGAAAGGAAAUUCACAAGCAGGAAAGAAACUGUGGAUCAGGGCAAGUUGUAACUCUAGAGGUUCAGAGAUAGGAGCUCUAAUUACACCAGGGCAAGGGAGUACUGUUUGGGGAAAUUUCUGAAACAUGAAAUAGGAAAGCUGAGGGUCAAAAUGAUAUUGUGAUGUGAAUAAAUAGAGAAGACAUGUUUGCAUGGAGCUCAGCUGGGUAAUCAUGGAAAGAAGGAGGGGCGAAGGAGGAAACUGAAAAUCGAAAUAAAGAACAGAAGCACAGACCAUGAAAUAUGCCAAAUAUAGUGUGCAAAUACUCAGAAGGCAUGGAAAGAUAAGUUAGAAGCCAAAACUCAGUUAUCACUAUCGUGUGAAGGAACAAUAAAACUCUUAGCAAAAACAAAUGACUUAGCAUGAGACCAAUACUGCUUUCCUUAGGUAGCUUGGUCCAGAGGGAAAAGGCUGAUAUCACUCCCUAUCAAGGGUUUUUAGACGGUUUAAGUGAGCUCUGCAAGUGGGAGACACGGUGAUGAUUAUUGACAGUUGCUAUCUUUCAAGGGGGAGAAGCAAACUGAUGUUACACAUUAGAAUUAGUUAGCACCACCGAACACAGGUUACAAAAAUACUGGGAGGAAUUCUCUCUCCUGAGCACAUUACGCAAUAUUUGCAAAUGUGUGCAGGUAAGUGUUGACUCUCUCAUCAUGCUGGACCUGGAAAUGGUUCUCAGCAAAUCAUGGCAUGAUUUCUUUUUCAAAGUUGGGUACACGAAUAUUAUCGUAACCAGCUAAGAGCAGGGAGACGUGGCAUGGGAGACUAACAGAUAGUGCAGCUUUUAAGAGAAGACGUAGAAAUCAAUCUAGUAACAAAUAUUUAUUAAGCAUUGGAGUGUGCUAGGCACCAAGAGAAAAGAAACCUCCACAGCUGAUAAAGCCUUUCAAAAUAAUGUCCUCAGUUAAUUUGCACAUUUCCAUGAGGUAGGUGUUGUUAGCCAUUUCCGUUAAUGAGAAAAAAAAAAAUGAGAUUCAGAAAGGUUAAUUAAAUUGGAGAUCUCCUGAUUUUUUAGUUUUAUAUCCUUCCCGUGUCCUUUCCAGGCUUAUAUUCUGGUCCUAUCACUUCUCAGCUGAGUUACUUCAACAAGUUAUUUAUUCUCUGUGUUCCCAGCUGUCAAAAUGAAAAUGCCAGUACCCACCUGGUAAGGAGUGAGAGAACAUUUAUAAAAAUGCUCGGCUGGGUACCUGACACAUAGGAGGUCCUCAGUAAAUUUGUUUUCUCCCUUUCUUCCUGAAGUACGGUGGCAGAGGGAUUCAGCCAGCCAGCCUGGGUAGCACAAGCCAUGAUGCCCUGCUGAAUCUGUGUUCUAGGGUCGGACAGGGGGAGUCCUUUUGCCUAGAGGGAUGGUGUGCGAGGCCUAAGAGGACUUGGGCAGAGUCUUGAAGGACGAGCAGGAUUUGCUGUGGUGGAGAGGUGGUCACGGGUUGAGCAGAUAGGAGAACCAAGGAAUCAAGGCAGGGAAAGAGAGGGGAUGCAUGUGAAGGGCCAGGAGCUGUUAACUAGUUUGCUAAGCAGCAGGCGAGGAUUUAGAAGGAGUUGGAGAAGUGUGGAGGGAGCUGAGGCUCUUGUGAGGGGAACUUUUAUGCUAAGGGUUCCAACUUGGCCCUGUGAAUGAAGGUGAGCUGGGGAAGGUUUGUGAACUUGGAGUCUCACCUGUAAAAGAUUAAUCUGGUGCCAGUGUACAGAAUGGACCGUCAAGGAAGAGGUGGAAAAACAAGGAAAAUUUGUAUUUUAUAGACACACACACACAUAGACACAGAGCCCUUUUUAUUAGAAAACAUAUAAUCAACUUAACCCCAUUUUAAAUGGCUUGGACAUUAAUUUUACUCUUGUAAUUGAUUAUAGAGGUUUAAAACUGUUGUGUUUUUGCCUUUGUGACAUAUUAUGGCUGUAUCUAAAAUUUAUUUGAUGUUAAAUCAAGAACAAAACUCUUCAAUUCUAUUGUUGUUCCUAAGGUAAAAUAUAAUCUACUUUGAGUCAAUUCACUGUGUCAUAAACUUUCCAGGAAUGGGAAACUUGAUAAAAAGCAGAGACUCACUGCAUAUGACAAUAAUUAAAUCUAUAUUCAACAAGUAUAAAAGAAUGGUUGUAGGGGUGAGCAAUUUGGAAGAAAAAAAGCCACUUGACUUAAAUAUGACAGAAAAUCAUACUGAGGUCUGACACCCCAUGACCUUUUUUGAGAUUUGAGGUUAUGCCAUGUAUUUGAGAAUAAAUAAAAUCCAUUUAAGUGUCUAUAUUAUUAAAUGAAUCGUAUUUUCAGAAAGCAUUAGAUAAAGUCUGUUUUAGACCUUGGAAUCCAUUUUUCUCAUGAACACAAUAUCGUAAAUAGAUGAGAAUUGAGUUCCCAGUCUAUAAAACCCUUAUUAAAUCAUCAUGUAGCUGAACUAUUCUAUAUUGGCAAUCAAUAGAGUUGAGUAAUCUUUUCAUAGUCACAGUGAUAAAAAAACAAAAAAUAUUGAAGAAGUAAUUUUUCAAAAAAUAGAGGUAUAGCACGUUUAAUUAUGGAUUAAGAGGCCGAUAAAUAAUUUUGUGGUGAUUCUGAAGAGACUAUCUGGGCACUUUCAAAAGCUUUAGAGUUGAUAAACUGUUCUUAUUAUGUCUAAUUUAAUAUUCAAAAUUUAUGACCAUUCAUUCAUUCAUCAAACAUAACUUAGAUAUCUACAAUAGGUAUUGUGCUAGCCGCUGGAGAUUUCAAUGUAAUGAAACAGUUCCUAACUUAAAGAAAAGCAGCACUUGAAAUUUUACUAAUGCAUUCAGUCAUUUACUUAACAGAUACUGAAUGUUUGCUACCGUGAGUCUAUUAUUCCUAUGCGUAUCAACUCCCAGGAAGCAUGUGUAGCUCGCUGAUGGAAUACAGAGAAAUAUUCCUGAGAGAAUACCAAAAAUAGUCCGUUUGUGCUACUAAAACAAAAUGGCUGAGACCGAGUAGCUAGCUUAUAAAGAACAGAAAGCUAUUUUCUCACAGUUCUGGAGGCUGGGAAGUCCAAGAUAAAAGCACCAACGGGUUUGGUUGUCUGGCAAAGGCUUCUCUCUGUUUCCAAGAUGGUGCCUUGUUGCUGUGUCCUCCAGAGGGAAGGAAUGCUGUGUCUUCACAUGGCAGAAGGCUGAAGGGCAAGUGAGCUAACACUGUGUGAAGCUUAUUUUAUAAGGACCUUAAUCCCAUUCAAGAGGGAG